GUGGCGGUCUGAAUGGUUCCAGCACUGAGCGGUGUGCUGCCACCGGUGUGACUCCACACAGAGUGAGGCUGGUUCCUACCGACAGGCCCUGUAAAGGCCAGCGGGUCCCCUGUGCGAUGGUUCCACACAUC